rnacentral:lncRNA from 1 species
ACUACCUCAGUUAGGUGAUCAAGGUCCACAUCAACAGUAGGUCUGAUAUAAUGUGAUGGAAACAGCAUUUCACCUCUGUGGUGUUCUGCCUCCAAACCUAAAACUAAUGUAUAAUCCCUUUAUACAUGAAAAAAAGUCAGACAGAUCUGUUUAGGGAUGUUCUACAAAAUACCUGACCAGUACUCCUCAAAACUGUCAAGCUUGUCAAAGAUAAAGUCUGAGAAAUUGUCACAGCCAAGAGAAUCUAAGGGGACAUGACAACUAUAUGUAAAGUGGUGUCCUGGAAGAGAACCUGGAACAGAAAAAGGACAUUAGGCUAAAAAAUAAGAAAUCUGAAUUAUGGAUUUAAGUUAACAAUAAUGUAUUUAUCUCGGCUCAUUCAUUAUAAUAAACAGAUAUUAAUACUACUGUAGAUACUGUUAAAGGGGAAUUAGAUAAGAGGUACAUGAGAAAACUCUGUACUACCUUCUUCUCUGGAAGUCUAAAACUAUUCUAAAAAAUAAAAAAUUUAUUUUAAAAAAAUGGAGGGGAAAUCUAUGGUUUAAAAGAAGCACAGAGAUACCAAUCAAACAAGAAAGUAUGGAUGGUGGAGGAGUGGGAAACACUCACGUGGCUGCAGGGAAUGUAAAGUGGCACAAGUAUCUUGGAAAAUAAUUUGGAAAUUUUUAUUUAAAAGUUAAAUACAUGCUCUCACACACACAUACACAUACAGUACGACCCAGCCAUUCCACUUGUAGGCAUUUAUUCAAUGACAAGGAAACCUUACGUUCACAUAGAGACUCCGUGAGUGUUCAUGGCAGCUUUAUUGAAUAGCCACAUGCUGAACACCACUCAUCAUCUACAAGUGAAGAUGGAUAAACUGAUAGAUCCAUCUAAUGGAAUAAUACUCAUC